rfam:Streptomyces sp. CMAA 1322 contig12, whole genome shotgun sequence.
CUUGAUGGAGCCCAGCCGCAGCGGCCGGCCGGCGGGACGGUUCCGGCCGUAGGUGGCGAGCAGCGCCUGGGCCUC